rnacentral:tRNA from 2 species
GGGGGCGUGGCGGAACGGUAGACGCAGCGGACUUAAAAUCCGCUGACUGUAAAGGUCGUGAGGGUUCGAGUCCCUCCGCCCCCA